UCUUCCAGAAAAAAAAUGCUAAUUGGCCUGAUCUGCUUUUUAAUAGCAGCAUUUAUUACCUAUUGAGGCAAAUAAGUUUGUUUAAUUCCCAUUUACUUUUAUUCCCUUGGAAUGAUAGUUCAUUUAUAUUUCAUUUCAUGUAGGACACUCUGGACUUGAGCUGUCUUGUAGCAGAGAGAGCUGGAGAAUGGAGCAACAACUGUAUUAUUGAAGAGCUCCAUAGCCACAGACUGGGAAAAGCAUGAUCGGAUGUGAUUUUCAGAACAGAUGCCCAAGCAGAGUUGGCAGUUAAUUAAAAGCACUAUGUACUUAAUGAUUAACUAAUCACAGCGUGAUGGCAUUCAACGGAGAUGCAAGAAACUUCUCUGCUGGAUUCAACAGAGAAACUCCUAAUGUCUGCCUUCAGGGUACCGUACUUACAGCCGUUUGCUUUUGCACUACCAGCAGAGACAACAUGAGCAGUUAGUCUGGCAAAUUUCAUUAAGCAUUGCUUAGCUAAAACUUUAAAAACAGAAAAGAUGAGCUUAGUCAAUACUGUAUCAGCUAUACCUACAGCACAGGGUGUCUUUAGCAAAGGUAUUUCACAGGCAUAUUGUCAAACAAACGACUGCAAAGCACUGUGAGCAUUUAAUCAUGCCUCAUGAGGAAGACACAUGUUGCUGCUCUGACUCCCCAGCCUCCAGCAAAACAGAUGAGCAGUGAGCUGCAGGCCAGGCACAGAAGAUUUUCAGUCACUUCAGGACAAAACCCCAGAAAAAAGAUACCAAGAAACAAUGAGAUCAGAAAGAAUUGCUCGUGGUGGCUGAAGCACUGAGUUGCUCUGUGAGAAGAGACAAGCCCCAGUCACAUGAGCUCAGCUAUCAAGUCCUGAUGUCUGUCAGAAAAUGCUCUGGGGUUUUCUGAUCCCUUCCCUUGGUAUCUACUUGACAGUGUCCCUUCCAAGAAGAACAAGCUAGCAGGAGGAGAGGAUCAGUGAGAGACAUCCAGAAGCUUAGAGGAUGAACUGACCUUGUACAAACUUAGCCAACCUCAGCAAUCUCCCGCCAGAUGUGCACUUCAUUAUUUAGGUGAUACCACACUGUCAGACUCCUUCUGAAAUGAAGUGGACAUGCCAACGCAGCGUCUGGUCCUCAGAUCCUUAGCUCCUGUAAGAAACAGAAUAAAGAGAAAUUAUCAACAAUGUUCAGCUUCAUCUCCAUUACUGUUAUUGAAGAAAUAGAUGGUAUAUCAUAAUACUAAAAAGCGUUCUGGAAAUUCAUGGAGAGCAAGGAGACACUGCAGUCAACCAAAGAGACUGAUAAACGGCUGAGUGAGAGCUUUCCCAGAGGCUUCCCAUGUCACUUGGCUCAGUCCUCAGUUUUCAUCAGACCAUGGACAGACCUGGCGUGCCAGCAGUGAAGGGAAAAGCUGUGAGGAUGUGGCUGGAGGUACCUGGAGAAGAAGAGAGCACCAAAACCACUUCUCCUUGUGUGCACAUAUAUAUCCUGAGAUUUGGCCUUGAAGAAAACCCGAGCUGAAUGUUGCUGAACUUUGGGCAGAGUUAGAUUCUGACCUGAAUAUUGAGGACAGAGUCCUUGUCUAUUUUUGUUUGUUUCCAUGCAUAAGUUCUUCAUCCUUUGCUCUUCUGGUCUUUUUUAUCUGCAGGAUAAAGGAUUGUGAACCAGAUAUAGAUUUGCUCAUGGAAAUCUGGGCUAUGGGGGCAAUAGCUCCUCUCUCUACCUCCCCAACAGAGCUUGCUGUUUCCCUCCUGCAGUAUGUCUUGUAGUCACAGAGGGUUGCCUUUACAGAUGAAUGCUGGCAACUGUCUAUUUUUCUCAGCAAGAAUUGCAGAAAGUCAAGAUUUGCUUUUCAGUUAGAGAAGUGCCCACCAGCACACCAUUGUACCCUCCAAGUUGAUUUGGUCAUCUGUUAUUUAGUUUCUUAGUGGAUCUUUGUACAAACCAUACAUAUCCCAAGUAUCAGAAUUUAUUUUUUUUUUUUAUUAAAGAGCUGGUUUUCUUUUCUCUAUGAUUCUUGACAAUGUGAUUCAUGGGAACAGUGAGGGAUUUCUUUUUCUGUACAAUAUAACUUAUUCUUCAGAGAGAAAAGCGUGUUGCCCUCUUUGUAUCUGGAAGAGAGAAAAUCAUCCCUUAUUUCUCAUUUGACACUUGGACAUUGGCUCCAAAAGUGCUCCAGCUACUUUUUGGACUGGGCAUCUAUUUUACAGGAGUACUGCAGAUUCCAAAGGCCAUCUCCUGCUUCUCUAUUAUAUGUACUGCUACAGUUUCGCCAAAAACACGAUUGUCCUUUUUUGGCUGUUAAAGUCACUGAGAAGGCUUGAAAAAGAGGAGAUGAGACAUCAGCUGAGCAACAGUUCUCCACCUUUUCUGUUCCUUUUCAUCAGAAGAUUGGGAUGGAGGUGCUAUGUGCUAUUUGGGAAGGCUAUAUACUUAUUUAGUGAAAAAGAGUGAGUUGACUCUCCCAUGUGGGCAGCCUGGGACAGGGAGAGAAGUCAUCAACAUCCCUUUCUCAGCAGUAUUUGACUGAAGCAUUCAUUUUGUUGUCCCCAGCCAAGCUCUCAGUUCAGUACCUACAGCCUGAAAGGCUGCUGCUGUCCCCAGGGAGUCCAGGCAGGAGAGCCAGAGCAAACCCUGGGCCCUGCAGCAGGCUGCCCUCUGUCAAGUAUCUCCAGUUCUACUGUUGGCUCCUUUGCUUUUCUGACAGCUAUUUUUCAUUUUGCUAGGUUUAGGACCUCACUGCAUGAAAGAGAUGGGGCAAGCAGGGGAAGGUGACUUUGCUGUUAUUUUAGAUUAACUUUAUUAUUUUCCAGAAACUACCUAAGAGGUCCAAGAACAGAUAUCAGGUGAGGAAAAGAAGUGUCUGUGUCACCAAAGAGACAUCACUGUGCAUUUAUGGAAGGUUUAUCUGAAGGUUUCCCUUUGCAGUUGAAGGAAUGACCUAUCAGAGCUGCUGUUUCCAGUCCCUGUUUGCCUGUAACAGUUCAGGUUCCUGUGGUUUGUCCCAGGAUCAUGUGGACACCUCACAGCCAGUGCUCAUUGGCACACAGGGCAAAGGCAGAGCACCUGCUCAUGUUCAGCUUAGUUCCAUUAAGUGCUCUCACAGCUGACAAUCUCUAAGCAGUACAAUGGAGACUAUGACUAUUUGCAUUGCAGAGCCCUUUUUGAUGUUCAAUAGUUCAAUAUCCCAAAUUAUUUUAAUGAGUAGGUGUGAUGAGAGCUUUAUAGAACUGCAAACAGCCCAUGAACCUAAUACCCUGGGACAACUCAUUUGCCUAACACAGAGCAUAUGAAAUACUCAACUGGUAUAAGACAGUGCAAACAUUUACUAAAAUCAGUUUUUAGUGUUUACCUUGGAGUGGGAGAGCACAUUUUGAGCAAUUAUUCUCUGUUGUGCCCAGCUAUGCAAUGCACAAUAUAUUCAGAAGAAUCCUGUAGUCAAGCCAUGAAUAUACAUAGAGAUUCUUUAGACAAUGAACUAGUUAAAAUGUAUCCUGUUGUGUUGUGCUGAGCACAGGAGAAAUAAAAGGUGUAACUAGGCCCAGGAUUCUAUAUCAAAAAUGAUGUUUAAACACAAUGAUGACUUUUAUAUAUUCGACCAUAAUUAGCAAGACUCAGCUCAGAAGCCCCUUGAAGAGUUUUACUGUGGCAUUUCCACUGUCUCGCCUGAACAGCAAACUCUUUGGCAAAUUCUUGUCAGCAGCUGGUAGCCCUGAAUAUUUUUAUUGUACAGAAAAGUAGCAAGCUGUUUCUCAUGGUACUCAAAGCUGUGGGCUCCUGGGCACUGCUGUCAAGGUCUCUCAGAGGAAAAGUGUUUGUGCUUUUGUGCCCUGCUCAAGGCUGUUGGUGCCACUGCAGCUUUGGCAACACAGUGCUGCUGUCACCAGGGCAAAUGUCUUUUGUGUUCAGAAACAAAGGACUACAGGAUGAGAUUGCUGUUACUGUGUGGCACUAGUGAAGUGGUCACAUUCUGCUUCUCACCUACACCUUUAAGCAGUUCUUCAGUUCCUUUGUUUCUUUAAAAUUGAGAGAGAUGAGCUGAGGAGGAUGCAGGUGAAAAUAGUCCAUGGAAAGAAAUUUUCAGUGAGGUCACUUUGCUGUUUCAUUGGAUGAGGAGAAGCUUAAGAACAGCUGUUCAGGCUUGAUAAGAAUGUAGAUCUAUAGUGAAAGGUAGAGAUUCUCAAACAUUCAUCAAACACUUUAUACCAGGGAUAUGAUGUUUCUCAAAUACGUUAUUUGCCAAUUGGUUUAUUUUUCUCUUUUCUCCUACAGUUCAAUAGAUUUAAAAAAACCCCACCACAUCUGUUUAUGUGGAGGGUUUUCUUGAGCAUUUCAUGAAGGUGACACAAAGAGUGUAACAGUACUAGAUGUAUCUGUUCUAAUACUUUUCUAUGUGCUUUGGCCUGUUAUGAACAACUAUGCAGUGUUUAGGACAGUACAAACUGGCUCUGUGUUUUGUGUGUGGGCUCAGCUGCCUGUGUGGUGUGUUACUAGAACAGGUACUCUGGGUUUGACGGCUUGCCAAGUGCACUUAGAAAAUUCCUGGGCUUGAGCCCCUGUGCUGUCCAAGUUCUUGCUCUUUUAUUAAGGGUUAAACACCUGAAAUACUUCAUUUUGCCAUGGAUGUGAUUCACACUUCAAAGGAGAUGGGAGUGACCGAUGUUUUUUGUGACUGUGAUGGUGAGUUCCGCCUUUCCACCUAGCAAGGAUUUCAGUGUGGCAUCUGAGUAAGUCAAAGACCACAGAGGUAUUCAGCCUUCACUUGGUGGCACUUUGUUUACCACAUAAAACUGUCUGUGGGUGCCUGGAGUCAUUUGCUGUGAGAGACCCUUUCAUGGAUUGAGGAGGCCAUGCAAAUAAUGUCAAUGGGACUUAAAAGAAUCAACAAUUCACCUUACUUCUCUGAGUCUCCUAACAAAUGUCACCACCCCAACUGUGGGUGAUAAGUUCCUUACAUAUAUUCGUUUUCCAGAAGUCUAUUUGUAAAUAAUUCCAGUCAAAUCAAUGUGACAAUCGAGGUAUGUUUUAAUUGUUCCUUCCCCUAUGGCUGUUCAUAAUUACAAGGCUGGGAAGGCACCAUGCAGGGGCCAGCACAGCUGCAGAGUGAAACCAAAAAACUCAGUGUGUUCAAGAUGGAUGGGAAGCACCAUUCAUGAAAACUCUUACGAUUAAAAUUAGAACUGGUAGCAACAAAGUUUUUGUUUAAAGAAGGAAUGGAAAAAGAAGGCAAGUUAAAAAGCAGAGUAUAAAGCCUCAUGCAGAGUGGGCUUAAUAGGAAGAUAAUUAUAGUGUUUCCAAACCUUAAUAACCAGGGACAGGGAAAGGAAGUGAGGGAUGUGGAAAAUCCUGCUCCACUGACAGGACCUGCCAUUUGCCAGCAGCAGCCUGCAGGGGACUUACUGCUGCACAAAGGUAUUUGCAAAUUCCCUACAACAGUUAUUUUUGCUCCUGAAGCAUGUACUUUAAGAAUACAACUUUUUCUAUAUCCAGCUGCCAUGCAAGAGUACCAAGUUUUUAUGUUGUAGCUGUAAAUCAUAAUUUAAAGUCAGGUGACUUUUAAUGUAUGGACUAAUUAGAGAGAGGAUGGAUCUGCAGUAUCACAAAGUUCUAAUGGGGUCAGGGCUGAAAUACUACAAGAAAAUCGUUAUUUUUUUUCCUCUGUGUCUGGGAGCCAUUAUCUAUUUUAAUUCCUCUCUAUUGAAGUAUGAAUCAUGUGAAUCCUACCUUUAAUUUGUUUCUUUAUCAGUGCUUUGUUGACUUCAUAGGCUAUACAAAGCACAGCAGGGGAGAGUUGUGAGACUAUGUAUCAAGCAUUAUAGUGCAUUAGAGUAAUCACUCUUCUCUCUAACACAUCAGAUCUUGUCAUCAAGUUUUAUGAGUAUAGGUGUUAUUUUUCUCAGAAUCUCCUGAAACUAUUCAUCUUAAUUAACAGUAGUGUAAGCUUCUUCAUGAAGUUGGAAUAUAUCUUAUCAUGAAGAAAUUUUGUGGUAAAUGCACCUACUUAGUAUUUCUAAACAAAGUGAUAAAAAAAAUAAAUUCCAUAGUUCAGAAAGCUUUCUUUUUAAAAUCUGUUUGAAACUGUUGGUGUAAGGUUAGAAGUUGCAGUAUUUUCCUCUCAAGGGACCAGAUGGUAAACUCUGCUUUGUGGUUCGCAGGCUGAUUGCCCUGAGUGUUCCUGAGCCCCAUCCUCGCUCCUGGCAGACCCCAAUAACUGCUGACAUGGUGCCAGUUUCCCAGGAUACUUCAAAAGUGAUGGAUUGAGGCACACACAUAAUGACCUGUUCCAGUCAGAAACAGAGACAGCCUCAAAGGGAGUUGCCAGUGAGAUCUAUAGAAUGGGAUGUGUUGAACAGCUCAGUCCUAAGGCGUUUGCCUUGAUGGCUGUGUGAAGCCAGUACUCUCACUUAGCAGCUACCUCAUUUUGGGGCCGAAAUGUUUCAUUUCAUCAGAUGGAUUUCUCCACAGAUGAACAAGCACAGACAAAAUGGUCAGAAGAAGAAAAGGCUCAUUACAAUCACAAUAUAUGCCAUGCAUAAACCCUAAUUUACAACUGUGGGGGAACACUGUAUUCUGGAUUAGCUGUCAGUUGUAGACAGCAGCUAUCACUUCAGAGUUACAACAAAGGAGAAAUGGAAGGCUUCUCUGCUCCCAGAUACAAAUGAUGACAGAUUUCAAUAUUACUUUCAGAAUUACUCUGGGAAAGGAUGUGUUCAGUCCAGGAUGCAGUCCAUGGUGAGGGGUGUGCUCUGGAAAUGCAAAAUAAUAACAUCUUAUGUUAGUAUCAUAAACCACUGAUUACAUGUGCUUUGAUGUGAAGAACCACACUGCCAACCGAACUUAUAGCUGUGGUCGGGGACAGAUUCACCAUGUGAUCAUUUUUAGCCAAGCAGUUUCUGAAUCAUGUGCCUAUAAUUGCUUCAGAUUUCUGGUAUUGAUCUCUUAUGUCAAAAUAAUUGAACUUUAUGGCUGACUUCUGAUGCUUAUUGAGAAAUCAUAUAAUUACUUCCAACCAGCUGUGAGUCAAUAGCAGUUGAGUAGAUACCACUCUCAGAGUGCUUGAUAUAUAAAUUUCCUUCUAAAUAAACACAAGACCUACAAUAUGUUAACAAAUCUAGGAGCCUGGAUGCAGGAUCCUAAGUUACAUCAUUACAUCACCUAAUAUUUGUAACACCUGAAAUACCUGUUGUGUGUUUGCACAUAAAAUAUACCUACUCCAGCCCCAGCCCUACAAGCUGAGGGACUGCUGUGCCUGCAGAGCUGCAGCAGGCUCUGCACCAAUGCAGCAGUUUGAGAUACCGAGCAGGGAUCGAGGUCUUGUUGGCCUGGCAGAAACUCUUCAAUUUCCAUUUGAAGUUCACACCAGUCUAGAAAAUCCUGUCCUAAAUAUCACUUGCUUUUUUUAGCUUUGCCUUUACUCCUUUGUUUAUACCAAACUGUCUGGAGCCUUAUUUACAAAGCCCUGUAUCCAGCACACAGAAAUCCUUGUUCUCCUUCAGAGACGGUCUUCAGAGUAGACAUACAUGUAUAGUCUGUUCUUCAAAAAGCUCAUGCUUCUAUGAUUUCACAAAAACCUAUCAUUUCUGUUGACUACAGGUUGGUGACAAAUAAACAGUUGCAACCCUUUUGAACAGGGAGUUUAAAAAACCUCCCGGAUAAGCUGAAAAUCUUUUUCUAGAACAGCUUAAGCCGAGAACUUUCGUGCCCCGCUGCUGAUGGGGAAUAGACACACACAGAGCUGGAAGAUCUACCAUACAGGCACAGAAUGUGACCAGUAGACACUUCUGAGUACUGUCUUAGGUGUUGCAGAUUUUAUCUUGAAGCAGGGUCUGUAAUAGCAUUUUUAAGAAGCCAAAUCCAGGGUGCUUACUGGGACUAGGCUCUGGGGUGUUUCCUGCUUGCACUGGUUGGGUCCAGAUGUGAGCAUUCUGCUCAGUUUGAUCCUGGCUGGCACAUGGAGAGAGUUAAGGACCUCUGGGGCCCAGAGGAAAUGGCUGGACAGAGAACUUCCCAGGACUGCUGCAUCGGCUGCAGACAUAUCUCCUGCAUUGUUCAGAUUUAAAAACAUUUCCUGCUGCAAUAGACAAGCCAGAGACUUUCCAGCCAGGCGAGGAGGAGAGCUGAGCUCCUGCAGUGCAGCUCUUACCCAGGGCAGUGCUGGUUCUGCUGCUGCAGCUGGUACUGAACAGACACCUGGGCCGUGUCCACUAACGUCAGCUAACUCCGUGCAUUUUCUGGGAUUCAGAAGGACCAUCUGCUACCCACACAGACAAGAGGAAACCCGCACAAAAAAAAAGGCAGCGAGGAUGAUGGUUUCCCAUGCAAUCUGGAGUGACUCUUGCUUUUGAAAUAAGGCAAUCUGGAGAACAUUAAAGCUGCUCUUAGAAGAAUAAACAACCUUGUGCAGAUGCAAAAGAAAGGCAGAGAAAUAUUAGAUGACUUACCCGCAGCCUGCAGCAGGUGAGUGAAAGAAUUAGAUAUAGAACCUCUGGCCUCUGGCCUUUCUUCCAAAUAAUCUUUCCUGUGUUUGUGCCACAGUAAAAUGAUUUUGCAUAUGUCCUGUCUCAGAAAUAUGAAAAAUAUAUGCAAUAUGCAAAGCAGCCAAUUGGGCUGCCUUUUGGAAUGUAUCAUCAUUUAUGGACGGUGCAUCUUGAAGCCUAAACAGAUUGUGCGCAAUUAAUUGCAAACUGUCAAAGAGACUACAGCACUUUACUGCCAAUUUGUAAAUAAAACCUACUAUGCAAAAGGACGGAGGCAAGUGAGGUGAGUGUCUGUGGAUAAAGGAAAGGCAAUGCGCAAAUGCAGUGCAACACAAUUUUUACACUCCAGCCUUUAAGGAUUUUGCUGACCCUGUAAGAAAAUGGUGUGGUGCAGAGUCAUUGAAUGCAGGUAAGCUUCUCCGUAGGUAAAUAUUUUACAUAACCUAAGUGAAGAACUCCCAGCUUACUUGAGAAGGUAAAAGAAUAAAGAAGUCACCAUAUGCCAAAAGAAAAACAUUCUUUUUUGUAAAAUCUUGGAAAACACAUGAGCAUUUUUGUACCCUAAGAUGUGCUGAACAAUGGUGGUGAUGAUGUGCAAACAAAGCAGGUUGCCUGUAUGUCCCGAUUAUGACCCUCAAAUGAUCUUUGUUAUAAAUAUACUCAUCCUGGGGACUGGCCAAUACCUGACUGGAUUCCUUAUCCGGUGCUGUCCAGCUCCCUUUGUAUCACUGCUGUUACCAUCCUACAGCUCAUUGUUCCCCUCAUAAUAUUCAAUAAAUACAAUAUGUUUGGUGCCACUGCUGAUCUGCUGAGCCAGUCAGUGGCCAGCCCGGUGACUCAGUCUUGGUCUCAGCUUCAGAAGAAAAAUGAUGAUGCCUGUCUUUCUAGGUUUGAACCCCCCCUGGUGAACAGCAUCACAAAUGUGAUACAGACCUUCAGUAAUUACUGAAACAGCAGUUUGUCACAAGCUGCCUGCGGCAGUGAUGGACAAUCUGCUUGUGGAUAUAGUUAGAGGAAGGAAUGUGUAAGAAAAUAUGAUAUUUGUGACAGGCUUAACUUGGAUUUUUUGUUUCAGGGGAUGAAAUGUACCUGUGGAGGCAGGUUUGAUGAAGAACUGGUACCCAUUUUCAUUAACAAUUUUUUCCACUUCUCUGGUAUUUAAUAUAUGCAAAAUUUACUUGAGUGUAAAUAAGAAUUUGGCCCAAGUAGCAGCCACAUCUACAUGAAAUGCAAUUAGUGUCUCCCCUGAAGUUCACAUAUAUCAGCAGCUUCCAAAACAAGUAGAUUUAGCCCUUGAGAAAGAGCAGAUCUGCCUACCUAUCCCAGUCACCCUUCACACUGGUGCCAUGGAGGGGGUCCUUGUGUUGCUGAGCAAAUAAAAAAAUCCCUGCUCUACUCCCCUGAGCCUUGUAACAGCCCAGAGUUUACUGCAGCAUAAGGGCACUUCCCUGUGCUCUGUGUACCUGAAAAGAAAUGGAAAUCUAAAAGUCCUCUUCAUGUGAAACAGUUCUCUUUAUUCUUUUUCUGCCCUAACCUUGUAGUGCAAUUGCAGCUCCAGAAAUGACAAAACAUCUGAGUCCACCAAUGGUGAGGUAAAUUCAAGGUUGAGAGAUGAUGAAAGAAAAAAUGGACUCUGAGCCCAAUAGGCUUUGGAUGGAGCUUUACAGAGAAUCAGGACACCAAAGGACGCUGUUUGGGGGGCAGCUGCCCAUGCAGGGGAAACACAGGCCCAGCUGUCUGGAAAAUCAGAAAUCUAGAAUAGAGAGGAGGGAAUGCACUGUUUGGCCCCAGCCAAAUUAAUAAUGACUUUUUGUUUCACAGCUUAAUAUUUAAGCGAUGUUGCUCCAAUUAGUCAACUGAAGACAUUUUGUCUUCAAUGAGAUGUAUUCUCUCCUCCCUGACUUAAGGUAGUUUACUUCCAGGAUUUUUUUUUUUAAACUAGAUUGCACUUGGCUCUAGGAAAGAAGGUUUCCUUCAGAAAUCUUUGCUGAGUUGAUGGCACACACAGCCACAUUCCUCCAGCCUUUAUUAACUCAAACUGUCAAAAUCUACAUGCCCACCUCCCCUUGUUCGUUAUUUUGUUUGUUGCAGUGCUGGAGACUGCUCUGUGUUUCACCAGAAAAGGCUCUCCAGUCCGCAGCUCUUGGAUUUUCUCUCUCGUGUCACUCAAGCAAACUGCCCUGAGCUUCCCUGCUGCCGAGGUCGGGGCAGAGCCACUGCAGCCCUCUGGCCCCGCCGGGAGCCCGGCACAGCAGCACCCGCUCGGACCCCGGAGCUGUGGGGGCACACACGGGCUGGGCUCCCCAGCGCUGCCCACAGCCAAAUGGGAUCUUGCCUGAAUGAGUACUGGGGGAUGGGCUCUUGUUCAGAGCCACAAACAACUCCUUAAAAUACCACGAGUGCUCAGAAGAUGGAAAUUUGCUAUAUUAUGAUUUCAGAAAGCAGCAGAUGAACACUGGACAUAAUGACAGGUCACCAUCCCCCCCCACCUCCUCCCGAACAGCUCACCCAAACCCACUGAGCCUUCUGAACAAUCCAGCUUCAGCCCUUGCCUGUGUUAAUUACUGUUAUUUUGAUGCACUGUGAUGAAUGCAAGAGAUCACACUAUACAUUAAAAGCAGAGUUCAGUAACCAGUAUGGAACAGUGUCCAUAUGCUGGCUGACAGGGUUACCCUACAGUUACUGGGCUAGUAGUUUUCAGCCAAAAGUCAGGAGAAUUUGGUUGGUACUCAGGGUUUUGCCCUCCCAUUCCCUGCUCUCUGCCACUGAAGUAAUCUGCAGUAAUUGUUUUUAACAGAAUAUUUUCAAGUGUCACCUGUAUCUGUAGUUACCAGUAAGAGCUCAGCCCCAUUCCUCUUACCAGCACCUCUGCAGAUGCUCCUGGAAAGUGAGCAGGAGACCUCUACCACCCCUCUUUUACCAGCAGGACUCUGCAGUGUCCCAGCUCUGAUGAGGUACCAGUGUGUGAUGAGGAGCACUGAUGCCAUCCUGGGACACCACCACGUAUGUUAUGUAGUGCUUGUAUGCCCUAAAGAUUUUGGAGGGUAGAAUAGAGAGCCUAUUAUUUUCUUUAGAAACAGUUUUCCUCCUCUGUCACCCCUUGACGUCUACCCCUCACAACAGGCUUGUGGUGCAAUGUGCACUGCUCUCCUCUACAAGGGCUCUGCUCCUUUUGGAAAAGGCUUCCAGAAGAAUACUGACAGCACUGAAAUCUCAUUUGGUCUGCUUGGUUUAUACCAGCCCUACUCAACUGCCCUGCAAGAAGAGAGAGGAAUAUUUUCCCCACUCUCUGGAGUAAAGUCCUCCAUUACCAUGUCACGAAAGAAAACAAGCUGCUUAGUAGCUAAGGAAAAAUGCUGACUUUAAACCUGAGAUAAGGCUCUAUCAUUUACACUAAUGAGCUCACUGGUGGGGAAUUUGUAAAAUUUUAUGAUAAAAAGUAGCUGUAGUCAGUGUUUGAUGGAAUUUACUAUUUUACUUUUUAGCUGAAAAUAGAUAUAAGUACUAAUCAUUUUCCCAUUCAAACCUAGAGAGAAAUAACUGCAGCAAGAAUUGUCCCAGUAGAAGUUCCAAGACCUUAAGUCUGUGACAAGAAAAACAAAUCAAGCUCCUGACCUUGGCAUCAUCGCUCACUUAGGAAUUUUUUGUACCUGAAAGAAAAAUCUGCUGAUAUCCCAUGCAAGUAAUAAAUCACCUCAUGUCAUCAGUAAAUACAGCUGUAAAACAGACAUCUCAAGGGUGUGGAACAUUGCAGAUAAUUUCUGCUGGAUGGCACCCUAGCAGUUCAUCUGCUCCUGCUGUGCGCUCUCUCAGUGAACUCAGCCUGCUCUUUGAGAUACCUUAACUGCUUGCUGUGGAAGCUGAAGGUGACACCAUAAACAAAUCACCAUAAAUACAUGCAAACCUCUCUUAAACAGCAAAACAGAUGGCUGUAGAUAGGCCACAGUGUGGAUCAGCAAGAGCUGUUUUGCUCUAAAUCUCAUUUUCACUCAUCUUCGGACUUUGUACGGAAUCUCAGCAGAUGCUUGGGAAGACAAGUAUCUUAAGUUUAUGUUGGCAUAUAUAAAUCCCUGAAUUACUUUUUGCUGUUUAUACUUUAUAAACUAAUAUAGCAGUGAACAAACUGCAUUUUCAGAACUGUGAACAAACUGAAUUUCAUAUAAGUUAUCCAGUUUUGGGACAGACCUUGCAUUUCUUACUCAAGGAGGAUUAAAUCAAAAGGCAAGUAGUCAGUGAAAAGGUGAUUUUAUACACAGCUAGCUAAACUUUUACUAAAUUAUUCUCUCAAAGGAAAAAUAAAGGUUUCCAGUAGAUUUCUCUGUACUCGUUUUUGGAGAAGCUUAUGCCUUCCCCCUUAGAGGCUUUCUUCAUAAGUGAAGCUGAAGUUAAAUGUCUAGUGAGAUUGAGUUUCUAAGGAUGAUUUUCCUAAAACAGGAUUAAGGCUCACUGAUAGUGUAAUGGAGUGCAGGUAAUGCUGCUGCUGCUCCUUAUUUAAACUCCUUUGUGGCUAAACUAUAUUUUGGUUUCUACAGAUAACAGCUCAGUACCUCUGAGCAUUGGACUUACUUCUGCCUCUCCACAAUUUUUUUUCUGGAACAAAAUGAGCAACCCUCUUGUGAUCUGAGCAGGACAGUAACCAGUCCUGAAGUGUUUCUUCAGAAACUUAAUGAGGAUGAUUCAAUUAUGUUCUUCCCUUCAGAUUAUUUCCAAGUUGUUUGUUUGUUUGUUUUCUUUGGAUGAAACAUUAGGGGAGUUCUACAAACGAACAGUCUGUGGUCAGUCUGCCAACACUGAGGUCAUAGCUAGUUACCACACAAUGCACAGUUCACAUAUUUUCUUCAUAUUCAUAGGAGUUUUUUCUUAAAAGUAAACAUCAAAGAACUCUGCUUGACAAAUACCUUAGUUUCAGUCUAACAUUUACAAUACCCAUUAGUCUGUUAAUACCUUGACACCAUUUCCAUUGUAUCUGAAUGACAAUUGCCCUUUUGUAUCUCAAUGACACUGAUUAACAAGGCAGUUUGUAAUUAGAUGGGUAACAUAAUUCCUGGCCCUGUGUAAACAUCUGAUUUCACAGAUCUCCACUCCUAGCUUGGAAGCUCUCUGCCACACAUCACUAAUGUUCUUAUAUAUCAGUCUCUACAUCCUCCUGCUGAGCCUCUCUUCUUUGUUCCCAGUACGAGUCAGAGACUGUUGUCAAUACAAGGAGAAUCAACACAACUGCCUAGUGCUGCAUGUGACAUUUAAUGAAGCCAUGUCUCAUUUGCAUGGCAGGUGUUACUUUAUUCCAGCCAGAACUGCAGAAGCUGGGUGCUACAGUACCAGUCAAGUGUGCAACACUGAUAGCCGGUGGCAAGGAGGGUGUCUGGCAAAGGAAUCUUUACAUGUCCCAUUUGCCUGCCUGGCACCUUCUGUAUGAGCAAUAGGGCUCCUGGUAAAGCGAUUUGUUCAUUUUUCCAGCCCCCCCUGUUCUCGUUCUUUCUGGUAAUUCUGUCCAUCAAGCCCUCAAAGUGGUCAAGGCAGUUGGGGGUGGAAGGCCCACCCAGCCUCCUGCCAGUGGGGUCACCACUAAUUAGCAAGCAACUUCCAGCUCAGGAGGGGAAACUCUCCUGGAUUCAAAUCCACAAGCUAAAAAUAAAGAGCUCUACAGCACAACAGAAUUGAAUUCUGUCAUGCAUAAGAAGGGUCUUUCAAGAGAAAUGUGUGAGUAUUUUUUACAUAAGAAAGAGUAAUGUAUGUUGAAAAAACAUAUAUGGGUUUUUUUGAGUCAAGUUCUCAAAAAAAAUUAAAAGAGCUGAGUUUUACUCCUUCAGUUUCCAUUCCCCCUUGUCAUUUCAUCCUUCUGACAAGGAUGCAAAAUGCUCAUUUCUGCUGAUUUUUAUUUGCUUUAGCCCCUUAGAAAUAUUAUUUUAAAGUUUCUGAUUCUGACUUUGAAGUCAGUUAAGAUCGUCAACAGUACUAAUACAUUGCAAAUCUUAAGCUUAUAUCUUGAAGUAAAAUAUGAAGUGGCUCCACCCACUCACUUUUAUCUCAUUUUCUAUUUCCCAGGAGAGUUUUUGUUUCUAUUUUAUUAUCUCCCCAUCUCCUUUCUGACCACCGUCCUUCCCCUAUAAUCACUUUGCCACUAAUUUGGUUUCCAGAGCGCUUCACUGCUGAAUGUCCAAAGUAAGUGCGUGGUACUUUGAUCCUCCCUGAGGAGGCUCCUGAUGCCAUUGGUUACCGCUACAUCCCGUCCCCUCAGAGCCAGCCAGUACCAACCCACGGGCAAACUCGGAUACUUCGCAGACACUCUGAGCAACUUUACAGUCGUACAUUUAACUUAGCAGGGCAGUAAUACGAAGAAAGUUUUAUUUAAAACAGUUGUCAGAGGGAGAGAUCGAUUUCCCAGGUAAAAACUUAUGAACCACACUGUCGAACAGCACAGUAAAAUAAACUAAAGUCGUUACCAAAAUUCAUAAUGAUUUGCACAGAAGCCCCGUUUUGGAUGAUAUUCAGUUUCCCAGAGAGGAUGCUACAAACUCCAUGUAAGUUUUUAUCUCUGAAUAUAAGUUUUAACUUUAGAAACAGAUCUGCCAGUUAGAAAAUUACUUUGUUCCAGUCGUUUCUUU